rnacentral:rRNA from 1 species
GAUCCUGGCUCAGGAUGAACGCUAGCUACAGGCUUAACACAUGCAAGUCGCGGGGCAGCAUGUUGUGUGCUUGCACACGAUGAUGGCGACCGGCGCACGGGUGAGUAACGCGUAUCCAACCUUCCCUUAGUAGGGCAUAGCCCGGCGAAAGUCGGAUUAAUACCCUAUGUUCUUCGUAGAUGGCAUCUGAGACGAAGCAAAGGUUAGCGCUAAGGGAUGGGGAUGCGUCUGAUUAGGCAGUCGGCGGGUAACGGCCCACCGAGCCAUCGAUCAGUAGGGUUCUGAGAGGAAGGUCCCCCACAUUGGAACUGAGACACGGUCCAAACUCCUACGGGAGGCAGCAGUGAGGAAUAUUGGUCAAUGGGCGAGAGCCUGAACCAGCCAAGUAGCGUGCAGGACGACGGCCCUACGGGUUGUAAACUGCUUUUAUGCGGGGAUAAAGUGCCCUACGUGUAGGGUAUUGCAGGUACCGCAUGAAUAAGGACCGGCUAAUUCCGUGCCAGCCGCAGC